rnacentral:lncRNA from 1 species
UCUGGAAUUUAUGGUAGUGGCUAGGAUCUUUUAUGUAGUUGAGUCUGACUCAUGGUAGGUACAAGGUCUCAGGUCAAUCUAAAGUGCACAUGGUUUUUCUCGAGUAAUUUGGAAUUAGCGACAAAGAGUUGGACAAAACGACUAACAAGAGAGGGGUUUUCAAAGUGGGUUAGACUGCACAUUCCAAAUCACCAAAUAGUGGGAAAAUGCAUGGUAUGGGCAUUUAGGCUUAGUUGUUUAAUUAAACUGAUUAACAAAAACAGAGAAGGUAUGUUGCAUUGCAUUCAUGCCUAUCGUUUCAUAAGUGUAUUGUUUUUUAGUACAUCGAUAUUUUUACACUAAGAGGAGGGAGAGUUCAGCAAUGCCACACAAUGGACAACCUAAUUUGGUAUCGAAUUCACCAUACACGAGAUUUGAACCUAAGACCUUUCACUUCCAAGUAAAGAGGAAUAUCAUCAGACUAUAGUACUGAGUGACUAUAUUUAAUUACAUCUUUGAUAAUUGAUAGUUGUGAAUUAUACAUGUGAAGGUAUAAGGUCCCUACUGAGCUGUUUAAGUUCACUCUAAUUAAAUUUACAAGGUCUAUGGACUAGCCUCCUCCAUUAAGAACAUAAGGAAUGACAAAAAUCAAUGGAAUUAAUGAUAAGGUUGCUGGAGAUGAAGGGAGAAGAAAUGAAUGUCAUACAUCGUUGAGGGGUUUUAGGAUAGAAAUAGAUAGGAUUCAUUUCAAAUCCAGUACAAAUCGAAUCUAAUCUAAUCCCUUAAAUUUUUUAAUUUCCUAUUUUCACAUUUCACUCAUGUCAACCAUAAGUAGGCUCAAAUUAUGCCACAUAAGUAAACUUAAUGGUUAUUUAACGGAAUACAUAGAAACAAGCCAAAGUGGUGACUUUUUGAGUUUUAGGGGGCAAUGUGAGGUCGAAAUCUAGUUCCAGGAGUGUGGCUAAAUGUAAGUCUUUAGUUUAUUUUUAUUUUAAUUACUUGCAUUUUGGAUUUGGGUUUUCCACCAACCCUAGGCAUGGGGUGUGACAUCAAAUCUCAUGAAUGAGGAAUUCGAUACCAAAUUAUUAUUGGCAUGCCCAUUGUGUGGCUUAAUCCAAAUCUUUUUUUACUUAAUUUAAAUAUAUUGUUGUGCUUAAAAAAAUUAUAUAUAGCCCCGAAAUUAGAAACUAGAUUCACCAUGUAUCACGAAUAGAAGCCUCAAUUGUAUAGAAAUCUUUUAAAUAUUACGAAUUCUAAUAUGUAUUCAUAGUAGUAGAAAAUGUAAAUAUACUGGAAUUUGGAAGGAUUUAACUUUUGAAUUACAGUUUAAAAAUGUUUCUCCUAAUUAAUGAACAAGUUUCUCUUUCUUUGUGAAUCUGAACAAAACAUGGGGGAAAGGAAUAUGUUGAAGAUCAGGAAAUGUUUGGUCACAAAUAUGAGGUGCGAGAAUGAGUGAGCUAGGCAGGAAUCUAAAUGAUUAUAUAUGUUGAGAGCUUGAACUGGAAGUUGUAGUGCAUGCCCAUACUCCAUGAGAACAAGUACAGUCACAUGUUUUGGAAAAUUUAAGGUAGUAAAGUGGAAGUUUGCAGAGGGAGGGAGGGAGUGAGGACACUUUUAUGGAGGAGGAUUCUUUUUUAUCCUCUUUGUGAGGAUUCUUUCUCAAUUCUCCUUGUAAGGAUCCUAGGGAUACUCAUAUCAUAUUCGUUCAUCGUACAUCGUGCGACCAUUUUUUGUUAGGUACUAUUUGUGUUUAAUUUAAAUAAAAAAUUCAUAAUGAUUUAUGAUUGUAUGAUGUACGAUAAACGGAUAGGAUGUGAGAUUUCCUAGAAUUCU